rnacentral:rRNA from 1 species
UACGUAGGGGGCAAGCGUUGUCCGGAUUUAUUGGGCGUAAAGAGCGUGUAGGCGGGUUGUUAAGUGAGCGGUGAAAGGUUCGGGCUCAACCCGAACAGUGCCUUUCAUACUGGCGACCUUGAGUGUGGGAGAGGCGAGUGGAAUUUCUGGUGUAGCGGUGAAAUGCGUAGAUAUCAGAAGGAACACCCAUGGCGAAGGCAGCUCGCUGGCCUACAACUGACGCUGAGACGCGAAAGCGUGGGGAGCAAACAGG